UACGUAGGGUGCAGGCGUUAAUCGGAAUUAUUGGGCGUAAAGAGCUCGUAGGCGGUCUGUCACGUCGGAUGUGAAAAUCCAGGGCUUAACCCUGGACCUGCAUUCGAUACGGGCAGGCUAGAGUUCGGUAGGGGAGACUGGAAUUCCUGGUGUAGCGGUGAAAUGCGCAGAUAUCAGGAGGAACUCCGGUGGCGAAGGCGGGUCUCUGGGCCGAUACUGACGCUGAGGAGCGAAAGCGUGGGGAGCGAACAGG
rnacentral:rRNA from 1 species